AAGUGUGUGUAUGUGUGUAUGCAUGCAUGUGUGUAUGCUAACACACACACACACACACACACACACACACACACACACA
rnacentral:miRNA from 1 species